rnacentral:rRNA from 1 species
GACGAACGCUGGCGGCGUGCUUAACACAUGCAAGUCGAACGGAAAGGCCCUGCUUUUGUGGGGUGCUCGAGUGGCGAACGGGUGAGUAACACGUGAGUAACCUGCCCUUGACUUUGGGAUAACUUCAGGAAACUGGGGCUAAUACCGGAUAGGAGCUCCUGCUGCAUGGUGGGGGUUGGAAAGUUUCGGCGGUUGGGGAUGGACUCGCGGCUUAUCAGCUUGUUGGUGGGGUAGUGGCUUACCAAGGCUUUGACGGGUCGCCGGACUGAGAGGGUGACCGGCCACAGUGGGCCUGAGGUACGGCCCAGACGGCUACGGGAGGCAGCAGUGGGGAAUAUUGCACAAUGGGCGGAAGCCUGAUGCAGCAACGCCGCGUGCGGGAUGACGGCCUUCGGGUUGUAAACCGCUUGCGCCUGUGACGAAGCGUGAGUGACGGUAAUGGGUAAAGAAGCACCGGCUAACUACGUG